GUGUUUAUAACGUCGAUAUUCGACUUCAUGAACGCGAUCGACUUUGGUGUUGAUGACGUCGAUAUUCGACGUCAUAAAAACGAUCAACUUCGGUGUUUAUACGUCGAUAUUCGACGUUAUAAACACGAUCAACUUAGGUGUUUAUGACGUCGAUAUUCGACGUCAUAAACACGAUCAACUUAGGUGUUUAUGACGUCGGUUUUCGAGGUAAUAAACAC
rnacentral:miRNA from 1 species